GACGAACGCUGGCGGCGUGCUUAACACAUGCAAGUCGAACGGAAAGGCCCUGCUUUUGUGGGGUGCUCGAGUGGCGAACGGGUGAGUAACACGUGAGUAACCUGCCCUUGACUUUGGGAUAACUUCAGGAAACUGGGGCUAAUACCGGAUAGGAGCUCCUGCUGCAUGGUGGGGGUUGGAAAGUUUCGGCGGUUGGGGAUGGACUCGCGGCUUAUCAGCUUGUUGGUGGGGUAGUGGCUUACCAAGGCUUUGACGGGUAGCCGGCCUGAGAGGGUGACCGGCCACAUGGGGACUGAGAUACGGCCCAGACUCCUCCGGGGGGGAGCAGUGGGGAAUAUUGCACAAUGGGCGGAAGCCUGAUGCAGCAACGCCGGGUGCGGGAUGACGGCCUUCGGGUGGUAAACCGCUUUCGCCUGUGACGAAGCGUGAGGGGCGGUAAUGGGUAAAGAAGCAGCGGCUAACUACGU
rnacentral:rRNA from 1 species